UCCCUUGAGCCACCGCCUUACGUGUUAAUUUAGCUUGGACGGGUAGUACAAGGAAAGUUACUAAGGAAUUCGAGCGACUAUGGAAAUAACUGUCAGAGACCGGUAUUCUCCUCUGGCAGUUAUCGUUAUUGGCUCGUAGUUCUAGUUCUCUGGCAGUUAUCGGGCUACCACCACAGGUAACCUGGAAGCUGGUAACGGAAUAACUGUGUGUGUAGACGUUCCUGACUCGGUGACUCCAGUUAAAGGUCGUAGUUCCAGGUGAUAUUUCCAGAGAGGAUAGUAACUGGAGCGAACAAAUAUUUUCAUACUGCUACGGAAACUACAGUGGGCCAUCGGGGAGAGGGGAUGGCAAAUAACGGGAAUCUAUCGUCUCAUUUCUUUGUGCGGUAAGAAAUUAUCGUACAAAUCGACGACGACGAAUUUAAAAAAACAUCUUCAGAAAUCACAUUUAAUUGUGAAUUUCUCUUCACAAAGACCUUCGGAGCUAGAUUUGGGUGAAACCCUUCCUGUAGAGGUGAUCCUUGGCACCAGUAGUGUGGAAGAGGAGCGAGAGGCACACCAACACCAGCAGAUGAGUCUCCGUUUAAUACUUGGGAUAUUAUAACAGUAAGUUAUAGCUCCAGAAGUCAGUCACCAGCAGCAGAUGUCACACAGUUAUAAAAUGGGAAACUUGAAGAAUAAGCUCCAGAAGUCAGCAGCAGCAGCAGCAGUCACACAGCCAUAAUGCAAGAAGCUUGAAGAAUAAUGUGUUAUGGCUCCGAUAGUCUUCCAGCAGCAGCAAAUGUUACACAGUCCUAUAGAGGCAAACUUGAAGUAUAAAGUAAUAGUGUUUUACAUACAAUGGCAAACUUGACCUUUCGCUUAAAAUGGAGGUACAUUUGCACUGAGUUUAAUGUUAUGACACGUGAAUGGAUUACCAGUGAUGUAUAUGUAAAUACUGGAAUUUGUAACUUAGAACUUAAUUUCAGUAUCGGCUUUGAAAUUUGGUCACUGGAUACAACUAUAUUAUCUUUCAUGUUGAUAGCAGCAAUCAUCAGAUUGCAAUCCAGUUAAGUACCUGUGAGGCAUGAGAUGUCAAAAAUACUUGUGGGUUAUUGGUAGCCUGUGUCAAGGCAUGUUGCACCUCAAAGUUUGUAAGUACAGUAGCAUUUUGUUUUCUGCUUUACUUAAAAAUUGGUAGCUGUAGCACCCAUUCUGACAUUCAAUUAUUUUGAAUUUCAAGUUUCUUAGAAUGAUACUGACAUCAGUUUGUUAACACUAAUCCGUAUAUUAUUGUUAAUAUAUGCUGCUAUUUUCCUCAGAUGUUAACUGAAAUUGUUUUAUUGUUAUGAUAACAACACUUCAGCCUUUGCAAACUUGCAGUAUAGGUUACCUGCUGAGAAAUAUUUACUGGAAGAAAUGGUUUCUUGAAUAGGACCGAAAGGAAAACCACUGAAAAUGCCAAACGUGAAUUGGUGAAACAUCUUGUGCUCAAUACUAAAUUUCAUUUGCAAAACAUGGAAGUUUUCCUAUCUUUGUGGUGGAACACAACAAAUUCUCAUAAUUUUGCUAGUUUGUAUUCUAGAAAGGGUGCCAGAAAUGGAAGAGUAUAAUUUUUAUUAAAUCGGGCAUUAAAUGUAAGUAGGUUGGAGUACAGAAAGGGUGCAACUGGCCUUCCCCACUGUAGCCUGAUGUGCUCCAACAUGCAUUUGUACUGAUGUGCAGGUGGUUAUAACACUAGUAUCAAACUGCAUGGUACCCACUUACUAAUGUGACCUACCCUUGCAUGAUCUUCUGCAGACAGCAAGAAAUCUGCUACUGCACUUACUACCUGUCCAACAGUUGUGGAGGAUUUUUUCCCCUUGGUGCUUGACAUGACAUGUUUUGCCCUCUGCCCUUAAAAUCUCAAUUCUUGUUACAUUUUUCAUCCAUUUUCUAUCUCCUGAUGGACCUGUAUUGAUUAAAAAACUAAUCACUGCAGAGGUGAUUGUAGAACUUUUGCUAGUGGCGGUGUGGAGGGGCUCCACUCUUUAAAAAAUAAAAUUAGAUUGUGGGACA